rnacentral:rRNA from 1 species
CCUAUCUGUGGUGGGCGUAGGAGAUUUGAGGGGGCCUGCUCUUAGUACGAGAGGACCGGAGUGGACGAACCUCUUGUGAUCCAGUUGUGGCGCCAGCCGCAUCGCUGGGUAGCGAAGUUCGGUCAGGAUAAACGCUGAAGGCAUAUAAGCGUGAAACCUUCCCCAAGAUGAGAUCUCCCAAGCGCAAGCUAAUAAGGGCACAGGAAGACUACCUGUUUGAUAGGGCGGAUGUGUAAGUCCAGUAAUGGAUUGAGCUUACCGCUACUAAUUGCCCGUUCGGCUUGACCAU